rnacentral:rRNA from 1 species
AUGCAAGUCGAGGGUUUGAUUUAUCAAGCACUGGCAUCCGGGUGAGUAACGCGUAGGUCAUCUGCCCCUAUCACAGACAUAACAGUUCUAACGGACUGCUAAUAUCUGAUGAGGCGAGCAAUCGUCAAAGCUUUGGCGGAUAGGGAUGAGCCUGCGUCUGAUUAGGUAGUUGGUGAGGUAAUGGCUCACCAAGCCUUCGAUCAGUAGCUGGUCUGAGAGGACGAACAGCCACACUGGAACUGAGACACGGUCCAGACUCCUACGGGAGGCAGCAGUGAGGAAUACUGGUCAAUGGGCGCAAGCCUGAACCAGCGACGCCGCGUGCGGGAUGAAGGGGCUUUGCCUCGUAAACCGCUGUCGGAUGGGACGAAAGGUGGCUUUGAGCCACUGGGACGGUACCAUCAAAGGAAGGAUCGGCUAACUACGUGCCAGCAGCCGCGGUAAUACGUAGGAUCCGAGCGUUGUCCGGAGUUACUGGGUGUAAAGGGUGCGUAGGCUGUUCUGUGCGUCAGAGGUGAAAUCCACGGGCUUAACUCGUGGGGUGCCUUUGAUACGGCAGGGCUUGAGUACGAGAGAGGUGCGUGGAAUUCCUGGUGUAGCAGUGAAAUGCGUAGAUAUCAGGAGGAACACCGGUGGCGAAGGCGGCGCACUGGCUCGUAACUGACGCUGAGGCACGAAAGCGUGGGGAUCAAACAGGAUUAGAUACCCUGGUAGUCCACGCCUUAAACGAUGCAUGCUUG